rnacentral:rRNA from 1 species
GACGAACGCUGGCGGCGUGCCUAAUACAUGCAAGUUGAGCGAUGAAGAUUGGUGCUUGCACCAAUUUGAAGAGCAGCGAACGGGUGAGUAACGAGUGGGGAAUCUGCCUUUGAGCGGGGGACAACAUUUGGAAACGAAUGCUAAUACCGCAUAACAACUUUAAACAUAAGUUUUAAGUUUGAAAGAUGCAAUUGCAUCACUCAAAGAUGAUCCCGCGUUGUAUUAGCUAGUUGGUGAGGUAAAGGCUCACCAAGGCGAUGAUACAUAGCCGACCUGAGAGGGUGAUCGGCCACAUUGGGACUGAGACACGGCCCAAACUCCUACGGGAGGCAGCAGUAGGGAAUCUUCGGCAAUGGACGAAAGUCUGACCGAGCAACGCCGCGUGAGUGAAGAAGGUUUUCGGAUCGUAAAACUCUGUUGGUAGAGAAGAACGUUGGUGAGAGUGGAAAGCUCAUCAAGUGACGGUGACUACCCAGAAAGGGACGGCUAACUACGUG